rnacentral:rRNA from 1 species
GGGGGGGGGGGGGGGGGGGGGGGGGGGGGGCGGGGGGGGGGGGGGGGGGCUGCUUGGGGGGGGGGCUGGAGGGGCGAACGGGUGAGGAGCGCGUGAGUAACCUGCCCUGGACUUGGGGAGGACUGCAGGAAACUGGGGCUAAUACCGGAUAGGCGCUCCUGCUGCAUGGUGGGGGUGGGAAAGUUUCGGCGGUUGGGGAUGGACUCGCGGCUUAUCGGCGUGUUGGUGGGGUAGUGGCUUACCAAGGCUUUGACGGGUAGCCGGCCUGAGAGGGUGACCGGCCACAUUGGGACUGAGAUACGGCCCAGACUCCUACGGGAGGCAGCAGUGGGGAAUAUUGCACAAUGGGCGGAAGCCUGAUGCAGCAACGCCGCGUGCGGGAUGACGGCCUUCGGGUUGUAAACCGCUUUCGCCUGUGACGAAGCGUGAGUGACGGUAAUGGGUAAAGAAGCACCGGCUAACUACGUG